GUUGAAUAUAAACGUUCGAAGCCUUGGACUCACAGUCUUGCUGAGUUUACUGACGGAACUUGAUGUGCAAUGGAUUUUCAAGCAUUCACAAUGACAAUGUCGGCCAUACAUCGAUGCUGCCAUUGCAAUUUCUCCCUCAAGACUUCUAGUAGAUUAAACUGCAAACAUUGCAAGCCACCCAGAGACUGAAUCCUGGAAUGGUGUGGCAGAUAGACCCAUAUUUUUCAGAAUAUGGUUUUUGUGUUGGCAAGGCAUUUGCAGGUCUAUGGGAAUGAAAUCUUUCCAGGAUAAUAGUUCAAGUGAAGAUCUGAUUUUCCCCUACAGUUAUAGAUUUCCAUGAAAUUUUACAGUCGUAGAUUGUCAAUGUUCUUAGUCAAGUUUUCAAACCCUGGCUGAUACCGCUAUGAUUGUCUAAUUGUCGAGUUUCCUGGAUUUCGACAUCAUUGAACAGAUGACAGACUUGCAAAAGAGAAAGAAACUGGGAUGACAGACUUGCGAAAGGGAAAGAAACUGGGAAACUUGCAAGAAAUUCAGAAAUAGAAGCAGCUAGCAAUCUGUUUGACAGAGCUUUGAUGUAGUUGUGGCAGUUUGACUUUAGACUUUUGAACCUGGUGUACUCUGCGAAUUGUUGAAGAAAUAAACCCUGAUGUGCACAGCACCAUCUUGGCUCUUUCGUGCAAAGGUAGUUUCAGAACUAGUAUUAUAUCAUGAGAAAUUAUUGCAGUGUGGCGUUCAUCCCUUAUAAUGUCGUUAAUAUGAAGAAAGUAGUGAAAUUAACAAGGACAACUAUGACUUGCUGUGUACAAGAUCCUUGAUAAAUGGUAGAAGUUUCAGACUUCAAAUUUGCAGUUUAAAGGAAUUAAACGGGCCUAGAAAGAUAAAAAGUUAUGGCAACGAAAAUUGCGGGCACUUAGCUGAUUGGAACCUCGUAGAAAUUUUUAAAGAAUAUUGCUCAAAAGUUUGCUAGUUAAUUUUAAUAACUAGGUCUGGUUUAUAUACUGUCCUGAUUAAGGAAAGGUUAUUAAAGGAAUGUUGACAGUCAA